AACGCACAUUGCGCCCGCCGGUAUUCCGGCGGGCAUGCCUGUUCGAGCGUCAUUUCACCACUCAAGCCCAGCUUGGUGUUGGAGCACCCGGCCGCCUGGCGAUCGGGGCCCCCAAGUACAUCGGCGGUCUCGCUAGGACCCUGAGCGCAGUAACUCGCGGUAAAACGCGCCUCGCUCGGAAGUUCCCAGCGGGCUUCCAGCCGCUAAACCCCCUAAUUUUCUUAGGUUGACCUCGGAUCAGGUAGGAAUACCCGCUGAACUUAA
rnacentral:misc_RNA from 1 species